AACUAAGGACAUUUGCCAUAUAAGACAUAGUUUCCAUGGCAGGUGGUUUCCAAGAACUCCUCAUAAAAACAGUUAAAAACAUACUGUGUUUUGCCAUACUGGAACACACCAGUUCAGAGUCUGGUAGUCUGCCAUGCCAGAUGCUCCAGAGGAGGAUGUCCAAUGCUUGAAAUCUCAUCUGUGUUGUAAAGGCUCCCUCCCCUGGGGCCCUAGAAGACAAGAAAAGAAGAAAUAUGGAAAAUAUAUAUAAAUACCAGAAAACUUUGGUUUAGUGUAAAAUACAUGAGUGAACAAAGAAGCAAAAAGGAAUGCUGUUUUUUGGAGGCAACCAUGAAUUUAAUGUGAAUUUUAACCCACCUGCACAAUUUGUCCUGAAAAUCUAUUCUGGAUUCAACAUCUAUUUACAUACCGUGGCAUGAUGAUGGAGCUUAAAAAAAGAAGAAGAACAAAGCCUAAUCAUCUCAUAUUUGCCUGCCCAGAAAUAAUUACUUUUGCUUUUUAUGCAAGAAGAAUUUUGCUAGCCUGUGUUAAUGAAAAUGCUAACGUUGCUAGCAAGUCUUACUUUUACAAAACCUAUUUGUUUUGUACAACAUUACAUAAAGACAAGAAAUAAAGUGAAAGUCAAAAAUAAAAAUAUUGCAAGCUUA